ACAGCAGUAGCCACGGGAAUACAGAGGGUGCGAGCGUUAAUCGGAUUUACUGGGCGUAAAGCGUGCGUAGGCGGCUUUUUAAGUCGGAUGUGAAAUCCCUGAGCUUAACUUAGGAAUUGCAUUCGAUACUGGGAAGCUAGAGUAUGGGAGAGGAUGGUAGAAUUCCAGGUGUAGCGGUGAAAUGCGUAGAGAUCUGGAGGAAUACCGAUGGCGAAGGCAGCCAUCUGGCCUAAUACUGACGCUGAGGUACGAAAGCAUGGGGAGCAAACAGGAUUAGAUACCCGAGUAGUCCCUGUCUCUUAUAC
rnacentral:rRNA from 1 species